UUAAGUUUGAUUCUAGCUUCUCAAUUAAUUAUUUUCUUGACUAACACAUGCAACGCACUGGACCCUGUGAGGAAAACAUAUAUUUUGAAAAAUUUCCCUUUAUAAUUAUAACUCUUACAUUAUAUUAACUUCACACGCCUGCAGUGAUUAAUCCUUAUUUAUUUAACGAAAGUUAGACUAGGCAAUCAAUAAAUUAAACUGACCUAAUCUGUGCCAGCAGUCGCGGUUACACAGAAAGUUUAUAUUAAUUCAUUCAGGUCCGUCAACAGAGAGAAAACAACAGGCCUUAGGGUUCAAUCUUGCUCUAUACAUUAACUUCUGCUCUCAUUCCUAAAGCGAAAGUAUAGACUAAAACAAGGAUUAGAUACCCUUCUAUUCUAAACCAUAAACAACUGACCUGGGCACUACGAAUACAUGUUUAAAACCCAAAGACCUUGGCGGUACUUUAACCUCCUAGGGGAGCUUGUAGGUUAAUUUGAUAAUCCCCAACCACCUCACUUAUAUUUGCUUUCAGCCUGUAUACUGCCGUCGUCAGUUUACCUUAUAAAAGUUAAGUAAACCUUAUAGCUUUAACGCUCCUACGUCAGGUCAUAGUGCAGCCUAUAUAUAAGCCUUUAUGAGCUACAACCCCCACGAUGCACGAAUUACUAUAUGAAAAUUAGUAUGAAGAUGGACUUAGCUGUAAGUUUUAUUAAUUUAAUAACCUGAACCAGGAAAUCUAAAGUGUGCACAAAUCGCCCGUCACUCCCCUCUAAAGAGGGGAUAAGUCGUAACAUAGUAGGAGUAAUGGAAAUUGUUCCUA
rnacentral:ncRNA from 1 species